rnacentral:rRNA from 1 species
GUCUGCAACUCGAGUACANGAAGCUGGAAUCGCUAGUAAUCGCAAAUCAGAAUGUUGCGGUGAAUACGUUCCCGGGCCUUGUACACACCGCCCGUCACACCAUGGGAGUUGGAAGCACCCGAAGUCGAUGACCUAACCGCGAGGGAGGAGUCGCCGAAGGUGAAGCCAGUGACUGGGGUGAAGUCGUAACAAGGUACC